UACAGAGGGUGCGAGCGUUGUCCGGAAUCACUGGGCGUAAAGGGCGCGUAGGCGGCCCGAUAAGUAGGGGGUGAAAUCUUGCGGCUUAACCGCAAGGCUGCCUUCUAAACUGUCGGGCUGGAGCACGGUAGAGGCAGAUGGAAUUCCCGGUGUAGCGGUGGAAUGCGUAGAGAUCGGGAAGAACACCAGUGGCGAAGGCGGUCUGCUGGGCCGUUGCUGACGCUGAGGCGCGACAGCGUGGGGAGCAAACAGG
rnacentral:rRNA from 1 species